rnacentral:misc_RNA from 1 species
GUGAAUCAUCGAAUUUUUGAACGCAAAUUGCACUCUCUUUGGAGAGUAUGCCUGUUUGAGGGUCAGUAAUAAUAAAAUCGCGGUGUUGCUUUCUUUGUGACGCACCUGAGAUUGGUCUACCUUUAACUCUCGGGUUUAAGAUGCUUAAAAUUGAACUUUUUUGCGCACCUUUAGACGUACAUAAAUUAAUUUUAUCGUCUAUUCUGGUGCCAAUUAUCUAUUAGGUGCGAUCAUGUCUAUAUUAUCUCGUGCCCAUACUUCUCAUCUUUUGACCUCAAAUCAUGUAAGGAC